AUCGGAAUCAACGCAGGACAGUGGCACCCAGUGCCACUACUCCAGAGAGCUCUCGGAGAGUGGACCCAUGGACUGCUACUGAAAUCCAAUUAUCCCACCAAGCAGGGAGGCAAGAGUGCGGAGAUGGAGAAGAGGGUAUAGUGAAGGAAUCCUUAACUCCAUGAUCUGAGGAGGUACGAUGAUGUCACUUCAACACACACAAGCCCAAACCAUUUCACAGAUAAAGCGAAAUUGGCUUUUGCAGACAAGACCAUCC